rnacentral:rRNA from 1 species
CCUACGGGUGGCUGCAGUCGGGGAUAUUGCGCAAUGGAGGAAACUCUGACGCAGUGACGCCGCGUGCAGGAAGACGGUUUUCUGAUUGUUAACUGAUUGACACAAGGGAGAAAAAAGACGGUACCUGGAGAAGAAGCUCCGGCUAACUACGUGCCAGCAGCCGCGGUAAUACGUAGGGAGCAAGCGUUGUCCGGAAUUAAUGGGUGUAAAGGGAGCGUAGGCGGGGAAGCAAGUUGGGUGUGAAAUCCCACGGCUUAACUGGGGAGCUGCAAUCAAAACUACUUCUCUUGAGUACUGAGGAGGAAAGUGGAAUUCCUAGUGUAGCGGUGAAAUGCGUAGAUAUUAGGAGGAACACCAGUGGCGAAGGCGACCUUCUGGACAUUAACUGACGUUGAGGCACGAAAGUGUGGGGAGCAAACAGGAUUAGAUACCCGAGUAGUC